UACGGGGGGAGCAAGCGUUGUUCGGAUUUACUGGGCGUAAAGGGCGCGUAGGCGGCCAGCACAAGUCAGUUGUGAAAUCUCCGAGCUUAACUCGGAAAGGUCAACUGAUACUGUGCGGCUAGAGUGCGGAAGGGGCAACUGGAAUUCUUGGUAUAGCGGUGAAAUGCGUAGAUAUCAAGAGGAACACCUGCGGCGAAGGCGGGUUGCUGGGCCGACACUGACGCUGAGGCGCGAAAGCCAGGGGAGCGAACGGG
rnacentral:rRNA from 1 species